UGAGGAAUAUUGGUCAAUGGGCGGAGAGCCUGAACCAGCCAAGUAGCGUGAAGGAUGACUGCCCUAUGGGUUGUAAACUUCUUUUAUAAAGGAAUAAAGUCGGGUAUGGAUACCCGUUUGCAUGUACUUUAUGAAUAAGGAUCGGCUAACUCCGUGCC
rnacentral:rRNA from 1 species